UGGGGGAUAUUGCACAAUGGGCGAAAGCCUGAUGCAGCGACGCCGCGUGGGGGAUGAAGGCCUUCGGGUUGUAAACUUCUUUUGCUCUGAACAAGGCAUGCUAAUGGGUGUGUUGAGUGUAGGGGUUGAUUAGCGCCGGCUAACUACGUGCCAGCAGCCGCGGUAAUACGUAGGGCGCGAGCGUUGUCCGGAAUUAUUGGGCGUAAAGGGCUUGUAGGUGGCUGGUUGCGUCUGUCGUUAAAGCUCAUGGCUUAACUGUGGGUUUGCGGUGGGUACGGGCUGGCUUGAGUGCAGUAGGGGAGGCUGGAAUUCCUGGUGUAGCGGUGGAAUGCGCAGAUAUCAGGAGGAAUACCGGUGGCGAAGGCGGGUCUCUGGGCUGUUACUGACACUGAGGAGCGAAAGCAUGGGGAGCGAACAGG
rnacentral:rRNA from 1 species